rnacentral:tRNA from 1 species
GCCUGGGUAGCUCAGUUGGUAGAGCAUUUGCCCGCGGAAGGCCAAGGUCCCGAGUUCGAGUCUCGGCCCGGCACA